rnacentral:rRNA from 1 species
GAUGAACGCUGGCGGCGUGCCUAAUACAUGCAAGUCGAGCGAACGGACGAGAAGCUUGCUUCUCUGAUGUUAGCGGCGGACGGGUGAGUAACACGUGGAUAACCUACCUAUAAGACUGGGAUAACUUCGGGAAACCGGAGCUAAUACCGGAUAAUAUUUUGAACCGCAUGGUUCAAAAGUGAAAGACGGUCUUGCUGUCACUUAUAGAUGGAUCCGCGCUGCAUUAGCUAGUUGGUAAGGUAACGGCUUACCAAGGCAACGAUGCAUAGCCGACCUGAGAGGGUGAUCGGCCACACUGGAACUGAGACACGGUCCAGGCUCCUACGGGAGGCAGCAGUAGGGAAUCUUCCGCAAUGGGCGGAAGCCUGACGGAGCAACGCCGCGUGAGUGAUGAAGGUCUUCGGAUCGUAAAACUCUGUUAUUAGGGAAGAACAUAUGUGUAAGUAACUGUGCACAUCUUGACGGUACCUAAUCAGAAAGCCACGGCUAACUACGUG